UACGGGGGGGGCAAGCGUUGUUCGGAAUUACUGGGCGUAAAGGGCGUGUAGGCGGCCAACUAAGUCCGACGUGAAAUCCCCAGGCUUAACCUGGGAACUGCGUCGGAUACUGGAUGGCUUGAAUUCGGGAGAGGGAUGCGGAAUUCCAGGUGUAGCGGUGAAAUGCGUAGAUAUCUGGAGGAACACCGGUGGCGAAGGCGGCAUCCUGGACCGACAUUGACGCUGAGGAGCGAAAGCCAGGGGAGCAAACGGG
rnacentral:rRNA from 1 species